CAUGGUUUUCUAUCUGGCUCCAAAGCCUAUGCAGACUUUGUAGUUCCUUCAUUACUCAUUUAUCAGGAAGUCCUUUUUACCCAUUAUAGCAGGGGUGUCAAACAUGUGUUGUCAGGGCAGUGUCAUGUGAUGUAUCGAGACUUUACCCCCCUUCGCUAAACUGGGCGGGGGCAGGACCAGCACUCACAGCCCGCGGGCCCGCAUCCAGCUCGCUGGCCGUGAGUUUGACACUCCUGCAUUAUAGGUAUAGCACUUUCACUUUUAAUUUCCCUGUUGUGAUUGGGCAAGGGGUUUCUGGAUCAUUAUCUAAGGAAAAACCAGCUUUAUUCCAUUUUAACCCAGAUUUGGUAAGUGGAAUAGGGAGGAACUAGUUUCAGCUCCGCCCUUAGUCAUGGCAAUUCAUUAGGGAUUUUGGCUUGAUCAUGUUCAUUCCUAGCACAGCCUGGGGAAGAAGGGAGAAACAAGUGUUAUGUAUGCUCCCAAGAGCUCUUGAACAAAAGGAAGGAGAGACAUCAAAGAAGUGAAUAAAUAUGAAGGGAGAUAAAAAGACUUCUUGCUGGGCUGAAACUUUGCUGAAACAAGAAUGGUGCUAGUUUGUUGACUACCUUCAAGUCCUUGUUUGAUCCUUUGGCCCGCAAGCUGAACCAAAAGUUCACCCUUCCUGCACCUUUUGCUGGCUCUACUUAUCUCCAGCACCUGUUAAUAAUUGUCAAUAAAUAUGGCAAGAUGCCAUAUGGAAAUUUGAGACCCUAUACUCAAAUACUGCUGGAUUAGCAGGCACUAGUUGGGAAAGCUGCUUCACCAAUUUAAGUCAUCACCUGGUUGCUGAAAUCAUCAAGAGAUAGGCAUUUAAUCCAAAUAUGCUGAAUGAUCUUGCUUGUGUAUUCAAAAUGCUUUGUCAAAUUCCUAAGAUGGAGGAAAAUAACGACAGCCUUACACAUAUAGAGCAGAAUUGUGAUGGCAUAUACAGAGCCGUACCUCCACACCACAGAUGCUUUCUGUAACAUCCAAGGUGAGCUUUUUGCUUCCCCUUUGGCAGGGAUAAACUGACAGCUGU
rnacentral:lncRNA from 1 species